AGAAGCUUAGGAUAAAUAAACCAGGAGCCUUCAAAGCUCCAAAUAGAAGUUAACCCUUCUAGCUUCUG
rnacentral:tRNA from 1 species